rnacentral:misc_RNA from 1 species
AUUUUCUCUCUCUAAAACUCCAUUUUUUCUUUCUCUCUCUUCUCUCUCACUCACAAUUCUUCCAUUUUUUUACACUUCCGGCGCCGGUAACUGCUCCACUAGCGGCGCCACCUUUCUCCGGUCACUGGAAAACGGCCGGAAGAGUUUUGUUUUCAAGUUGAAAAAUACUGAAUCACUACGAUUAUUGUUUGACUUAGACGACUUAUUUUUUGACUUGAAGCAUUGAAGGGACGGUGGUGAGAAACGGUAGGUAGUGAAGUUGUUCAGAUCUGUGAGGAUUUAUUCCUAGGGUUUGAUUCUGAGUGAAUGUUGAAAAGUUUUUGAGGUUAGGGUGUUUUGGAAGAUUUUGAAGUGUGGAUGGUAGUGUACGGACGGCGUAGCGCGGUGGUCGUCGUCGUCGCCGGAAUUGGAGGAGGAGUUGAUGAUGAGCGGAGGUGUUGAAAG